rnacentral:rRNA from 1 species
UACGGGGGGGGGUAAGCGUUGUUCGGAAUUACUGGGCGUAAAGGGCUCGUAGGCGGCCAACUAAGUCGGACGUGAAAUCCCUCAGCUUAACCGGGGAACUGCGUCUGAUACUGGAUGGCUUGAGUUUGGGAGAGGGAUGCGGAAUUCCAGGUGUAGCGGUGAAAUGCGUAGAUAUCUGGAGGAACACCGGUGGCGAAGGCGGCAUCCUGGACCAACACUGACGCUGAGUGAGCGAAAGCCAGGGGAGCAAACGGG